AACGAACGCUGGCGGCAGGCUUAACACAUGCAAGUCGAACGCCCCGCAAGGGGAGUGGCAGACGGGUGAGUAACGCGUGGGAAUCUACCCAUCCCUACGGAAUAACGCAUGGAAACGUGUGCUAAUACCGUAUACGCCCUACGGGGGAAAGAUUUAUCGGGGAUGGAUGAGCCCGCGUUGGAUUAGCUAGUUGGUGGGGUAAAGGCCUACCAAGGCGACGAUCCAUAGCUGGUCUGAGAGGAUGAUCAGCCGCAUUGGGACUGAGACACGGCCCAAACUCCUACGGGAGGCAGCAGUGGGGAAUAUUGGACAAUGGGCGCAAGCCUGAUCCAGCCAUGCCGCGUGAGUGAUGAAGGCCUUAGGGUUGUAAAGCUCUUUCACCGGAGAAGAUAAUGACGGUAUCCGGAGAAGAAGCCCCGGCUAACUUCGUG
rnacentral:rRNA from 1 species